GAUGAACGCUGGCGGCGUGCCUAAUACAUGCGAGUCGAGCGAACAGACGAGGAGCUUGCUCCUCUGACGUUAGCGGCGGACGGGUGAGUAACACGUGGAUAACCUACCUAUAAGACUGGGGUAACUUCGGGAAACCGGAGCUAAUACCGGAUAAUAUAUUGAACCGCAUGGUUCAAUAGUGAAAGACGGUUUUGCUGUCACUUAUAGAUGGAUCCGCGCCGCAUUAGCUAGUUGGUAAGGUAACGGCUUACCAAGGCGACGAUGCGUAGCCGACCUGAGAGGGUGAUCGGCCACACUGGAACUGAGACACGGUCCAGACUCCUACGGGAGGCAGCAGUAGGGAAUCUUCCGCAAUGGGCGAAAGCCUGACGGAGCAACGCCGCGUGAGUGAUGAAGGUCUUCGGAUCGUAAAACUCUGUUAUUAGGGAAGAACAAAUGUGUAAGUAACUAUGCACGUCUUGACGGUACCUAAUCAGAAAGCCACGGCUAACUACGUG
rnacentral:rRNA from 1 species